UACGGGGGGAAGCAAGCGUUUGUUCGGAUUUACUGGGCGUAAAGGGCGCGUAGGCGGCCACCGCAAGUCGGUUGUGAAAUCCCCGGGCUUAACCUGGGAACUGCAUUUGGGACUGCAAGGCUCGAGUACGGCAGAGGGAGGUGGAAUUCCACGUGUAGCAGUGAAAUGCGUAGAGAUGUGGAGGAACACCGAUGGCGAAGGCAGCCACCUGGCAUAAUACUGACGCUGAUGCGCGAAAGCGUGGGGAGCGAACAGG
rnacentral:rRNA from 1 species